AGCGAACGCUGGCGGCAGGCUUAACACAUGCAAGUCGAACGGGCGUAGCAAUACGUCAGUGGCAGACGGGUGAGUAACGCGUGGGAACGUGCCUUUUGGUUCGGAACAACACAGGGAAACUUGUGCUAAUACCGGAUAAGCCCUUACGGGAAAGAUUUAUCGCCAAAAGAUCGGCCCGCGUCUGAUUAGCUAGUUGGUGAGGUAAUGGCUCACCAAGGCGACGAUCAGUAGCUGGUCUGAGAGGAUGAUCAGCCACACUGGGACUGAGACACGGCCCAGACUCCUACGGGAGGCAGCAGUGGGGAAUAUUGGACAAUGGGCGCAAGCCUGAUCCAGCCAUGCCGCGUGAGUGAUGAAGGCCCUAGGGUUGUAAAGCUCUUUUGUGCGGGAAGAUAAUGACGGUACCGCAAGAAUAAGCCCCGGCUAACUUCGUGCCAGCCGCCGCAGUAACAC
rnacentral:rRNA from 1 species